GGAGGGUUGGCCGAGCGGUUGAAGGCGGCGGUCUUGAAAACCGCUGUGGGCUCCGGGCCCACCGGGGGUUCGAAUCCCUCACCCUCCG
rnacentral:tRNA from 1 species